rnacentral:rRNA from 1 species
ACUAAGCGUACACGGUGGAUGCCCUGGCAGUCAGAGGCGAUGAAGGACGUGCUAAUCUGCGAAAAGCGUCGGUAAGGUGAUAUGAACCGUUAUAACCGGCGAUGUCCGAAUGGGGAAACCCAGUGUGUUUCGACACACUAUCAUUAACUGAAUCCAUAGGUUAAUGAGGCGAACCGGGGGAACUGAAACAUCUAAGUACCCCGAGGAAAAGAAAUCAACCGAGAUUCCCCCAGUAGCGGCGAGCGAACGGGGAGGAGCCCAGAGCCUGAAUCAGUGUGUGUGUUAGUGGAAGCGUCUGGAAAGGCGUGCGAUACAGGGUGACAGCCCCGUACACAAAAAUGCACAUGCUGUGAGCUCGAUGAGUAGGGCGGGACACGUGGUAUCCUGUCUGAAUAUGGGGGGACCAUCCUCCAAGGCUAAAUACUCCUGACUGACCGAUAGUGAACCAGUACCGUGAGGGAAAGGCGAAAAGAACCCCGGCGAGGGGAGUGAAAAAGAACCUGAAACCGUGUACGUACAAGCAGUGGGAGCCCUGAUUUAUCAGGGUGACUGCGUACCUUUUGUAUAAUGGGUCAGCGACUUAUAUUCUGUAGCAAGGUUAACCGAAUAGGGGAGCCGGAGGGAAACCGAGUCUUAACUGGGCGUUAAGUUGCAGGGUAUAGACCCGAAACCCGGUGAUCUAGCCAUGGGCAGGUUGAAGGUUGGGUAACACUAACUGGAGGACCGAACCGACUAAUGUUGAAAAAUUAGCGGAUGACUUGUGGCUGGGGGUGAAAGGCCAAUCAAACCGGGAGAUAGCUGGUUCUCCCCGAAAGCUAUUUAGGUAGCGCCUCGUGAAUUCAUCUCCGGGGGUAGAGCACUGUUUCGGCAAGGGGGUCAUCCCGACUUACCAACCCGAUGCAAACUGCGAAUACCGGAGAAUGUUAUCACGGGAGACACACGGCGGGUGCUAACGUCCGUCGUGAAGAGGGAAACAACCCAGACCGCCAGCUAAGGUCCCAAAGUCAUGGUUAAGUGGGAAACGAUGUGGGAAGGCCCAGACAGCCAGGAUGUUGGCUUAGAAGCAGCCAUCAUUUAAAGAAAGCGUAAUAGCUCACUGGUCGAGUCGGCCUGCGCGGAAGAUGUAACGGGGCUAAACCAUGCACCGAAGCUGCGGCAGCGACACUGUGUGUUGUUGGGUAGGGGAGCGUUCUGUAAGCCUGUGAAGGUGUGCUGUGAGGCAUGCUGGAGGUAUCAGAAGUGCGAAUGCUGACAUAAGUAACGAUAAAGCGGGUGAAAAGCCCGCUCGCCGGAAGACCAAGGGUUCCUGUCCAACGUUAAUCGGGGCAGGGUGAGUCGACCCCUAAGGCGAGGCCGAAAGGCGUAGUCGAUGGGAAACAGGUUAAUAUUCCUGUACUUGGUGUUACUGCGAAGGGGGGACGGAGAAGGCUAUGUUGGCCGGGCGACGGUUGUCCCGGUUUAAGCGUGUAGGCUGGUUUUCCAGGCAAAUCCGGAGAAUCAAGGCUGAGGCGUGAUGACGAGGCACUACGGUGCUGAAGCAACAAAUGCCCUGCUUCCAGGAAAAGCCUCUAAGCAUCAGGUAACAUCAAAUCGUACCCCAAACCGACACAGGUGGUCAGGUAGAGAAUACCAAGGCGCUUGAGAGAACUCGGGUGAAGGAACUAGGCAAAAUGGUGCCGUAACUUCGGGAGAAGGCACGCUGAUGGUAGGUGAAGCGACUUGCUCGUGGAGCUGAAAUCAGUCGAAGAUACCAGCUGGCUGCAACUGUUUAUUAAAAACACAGCACUGUGCAAACACGAAAGUGGACGUAUACGGUGUGACGCCUGCCCGGUGCCGGAAGGUUAAUUGAUGGGGUCAGCGCAAGCGAAGCUCUUGAUCGAAGCCCCGGUAAACGGCGGCCGUAACUAUAACGGUCCUAAGGUAGCGAAAUUCCUUGUCGGGUAAGUUCCGACCUGCACGAAUGGCGUAAUGAUGGCCAGGCUGUCUCCACCCGAGACUCAGUGAAAUUGAACUCGCUGUGAAGAUGCAGUGUACCCGCGGCAAGACGGAAAGACCCCGUGAACCUUUACUAUAGCUUGACACUGAACACUGGUCCUUGAUGUGUAGGAUAGGUGGGAGGCUUUGAAGUGUGGACGCCAGUCUGCAUGGAGCCGUCCUUGAAAUACCACCCUUUAAUGGCUGGUGUUCUAACGUGGGCCCGUAAUCCGGGUUGCGGACAGUGUCUGGUGGGUAGUUUGACUGGGGCGGUCUCCUCCUAAAGAGUAACGGAGGAGCACGAAGGUUGGCUAAUCCUGGUCGGACAUCAGGAGGUUAGUGCAAUGGCAUAAGCCAGCUUGACUGCGAGCGUGACGGCGCGAGCAGGUGCGAAAGCAGGUCAUAGUGAUCCGGUGGUUCUGAAUGGAAGGGCCAUCGCUCAACGGAUAAAAGGUACUCCGGGGAUAACAGGCUGAUACCGCCCAAGAGUUCAUAUCGACGGCGGUGUUUGGCACCUCGAUGUCGGCUCAUCACAUCCUGGGGCUGAAGUAGGUCCCAAGGGUAUGGCUGUUCGCCAUUUAAAGUGGUACGCGAGCUGGGUUUAGAACGUCGUGAGACAGUUCGGUCCCUAUCUGCCGUGGGCGCUGGAGAACUGAGGGGGGCUGCUCCUAGUACGAGAGGACCGGAGUGGACGCAUCACUGGUGUUCGGGUUGUCAUGCCAAUGGCACUGCCCGGUAGCUAAAUGCGGAAGAGAUAAGUGCUGAAAGCAUCUAAGCACGAAACUUGCCCCGAGAUGAGUUCUCCCUGAGACUUAGAGUCUCCUGAAGGAACGUUGAAGACGACGACGUUGAUAGGCCGGGUGUGUAAGCGCAGCGAUGCGUUGAGCUAACCGGUACUAAUGAACCGUGAGGCUUAACC